rnacentral:rRNA from 1 species
GAUGAACGCUGACAGAAUGCUUAACACAUGCAAGUCAACCUGAACUUUGGUUUGGGUGGCGCUCGGGUGAGUAACGCGUAAAGAACUUGCCUCACAGCUAGGGACAACAUUUGGAAACGAAUGCUAAUACCUGAUAUUAUGAUUUUAGGGCAUCCUAGUAUUAUGAAAGCUUUAUGCGCUGUGAGAGAGCUUUGCGUCCCAUUAGCUAGUUGGAGAGGUAACGGCUCACCAAGGCGAGGAUGGGUAGCCGGCCUGAGAGGGUGAACCGCCACAAGGGGACUGGGACACGGCCCUUACGCCUACGGGAGGCAGCAGUGGGGAAUAUUCGACAAAGCACCAAGAGUCUGAUCCAGCAAUUCUGUGUGCACGAUGAAGUUUUUCGGGAUGAAAAGUGCUUUCAGUUGGGAAGAAAAAAAUGACGGUACCAACAGAAGAAGUGACGGCUAAAUACGUG